rnacentral:snRNA from 1 species
GUGCUUGCUCAGGCAGCACAUAUGAUGAAUGGGAAUCGAUACAGAGAAGUUUAGCAUGGCCCCUGAGAAAGUAUGACACGCAAAUUUGUGAAGCGUUUCUACAUUUU